GGAAGGAGAGAGUCAGUGAGAAGCGCAACCAAUGCGGGGAGCCGGCCUGCAGCCAGUGGGCGCCCGCGGUUUCCAAAGACCCGCCCCUGCGCGCCAGUGGUGGGCGGAUGGGCGCUAGGAGCUGCACUUAAAAGGCGGGGAAUCGCUAGCCGCAAGAUUUUUCCUCGACAGAUCCUGCCGCAGUGUAUUCCUCCCGCACCACUCGCCUCCACCCGUCGCUGCCACCGCCGCCGCCUCGCCUGGAGCCUCCGGGCGUCCCACCAUCGCCCUCCUCCAAGCCCUGCCUCGAGGCCUGGCACGUGGGCAAGUGCAGCCAAAGUGGCUGUGGCCAGAGAGAAGAAAACAGUAAAAGAAGUCUCUGUUCCUUACGGGAGUCUGACAGGUAACCUCAGCCCAGCCUUAGGAUAUUGGGCCCGGAGCUCAGAGGAAGGAACUGGAGGAAGAGGAGUCAGAGACCCAGUCCUCAGACUGGUUUUGGGUGAGAUCUCUAUCCAUCAGGAGGAGGUAAGAUUUUUUUUAUCCUUUAUGCUUCUUAGUGGAGUUGGGUUCCUAUAACCUGUUGCUACCUUUUACAAAGGUCCCCAAGACACAAGAGUAAUACAUAGUCAUUACAGAAGAUUUGGAAAACCAAGAAAACCUUAAGGACAGAAUAUUCCCCACCAUUCAGAAUCCCACCACACAGACGCAAGCACUGUUAACACUUUGCUGCGUUUCCUUCUAGCGUGUUCUCUCGGUGUCUUUUUCACAGCUGAGACUCGCUUUCACAACCUGUUUGUGCUUAGUAGUGGGAUCUAAAAUGGCCGCCACCUUUGCAGUCACUCAUUCUGAGGAAUUUAUUGAUGCAUACUCCUAAUCUGUUAGGCAUUUCCAUAGUGUGGUUUUGCCCUUUCCCACCAGGGUGGGAGUCAACAGCCUUGCAAAGACCAUUGUUUCUGUUUUUCAGCUGAUUUCUUCAGGAGGUAAUUCCAGAAGAGGAAUUGCUACUCUUUGAGGCUGCGGACCCUGUUUGCUGAUGUUGACCCACUGGCCCUUCUGCCCGUGUGCUGGUGGAGAAGCACGAUGAACAGGUGCCUUGCACCCCCACUUCUGGGGAGCCAUCAGCACAGGCCCUGCCUGUUCCCAUGGUCCCAUGGUGCUUCCCACCCUGAACCCUUGUAGCACUAGCCAGGGAGAAAGCAGAGGAACAGUGAGCUGAUUUUCAGGCCUCUGGGGGCAGAGGGGGUUGGGCUUCCCUAUGACCCCCUCCCCACUUUCCCAGAUCUUCAAUAUUUGUUGUGAUGUGACAGCCACAAAAGCUGUAAGAACUGUGGGCUUUGGGUGCCUCCUUGUUAAGAGGGUGGGUGGGGGGGGGGAAUGCAUGCAGGGGUAUGGAGGCAGCUCAAGGAUUCCCAGAACCUGGGGAAGAAACUCCUUCGAAAUAAAUGUGUUAUUGUUAUUAUUGUGUUAUUGCUGUAUUAUUGUGUUGUGAAGAUAAGAAGUUUUACUCUGUACGCUAAUGCUUUCUCUUCCUCAAUAAAAAUAUAAAGGGUGUGUAAAGAUGGUGUCUGUCUGUGUUAUUGGGCAAACAUAGAUGGGUGCCCAGUGGGCGGG
rnacentral:lncRNA from 1 species